rnacentral:misc_RNA from 1 species
CCUAGCUGCUACUGACACCACCGACCGCGAGACCCAUGCAUGCAUUAUGGCCAGAGAGCUGUGCGCUGUGUGGGCAGCCACGCACAGCGGGAGGGUUUGCAUGUGUGGAUGGCACGGCAGCGACGGCACUGUGAGAGGAGAGGGAUCGGACGGGGACAGCCGGGGAUGGACGGCGGCGUGCGUGUUGGUUCCUUGUCAAGAGGGGGACAGAGGCACCAACUGGCCGGGCAGCGAUCGAAAGCAUGUCUGGUCCGGUACCGGUACCCCUUCCUCCGCCCGGUGCCAGCCGCGCUGCGCUACGGCACCACUAGCUUGCUGCAUUGCUUUCCUUUCUCAUGCGUCGGCGUCGUCGUCGCCGCCGCUUCGGCCGGCUGGGC